UACGAAGGGGGCUAGCGUUGUUCGGAUUAACUGGGCGUAAAGCGCGCGUAGGCGGGUUUUUAAGUCAGGGGUGAAAUCCCAAGGCUCAACCUUGGAACUGCCUUUGAUACUGGAAAUCUUGAGUCCGGGAGAGGUGAGUGGAACUGCGAGUGUAGAGGUGAAAUUCGUAGAUAUUCGCAAGAACACCAGUGGCGAAGGCGGCUUACUGGACCGGUUCUGACGCUGAGGCGCGAAAGCGUGGGGAGCAAACAGG
rnacentral:rRNA from 1 species